rnacentral:lncRNA from 1 species
GUUGUUGUUGAUUGUUAGGCUGGAAAAUGCCAGUUAAGGAGUACGAGUUUGAUGAAAAGAAGAUGACCAAUGUGCAACCUCAUUAGGUUAAAGUUCCAGACAAAUUGCAAUUGCAUAAAUAAUUAAUGGAAUGUAAGGCGAUGAAAUAACCCGCUUGCAAAAGACUCAAGAGAUUUAGAAAGAUUAAUUGAAGGUUAAUUACCACCAAUCUCUUCUGAGUAAGCUUAUCGAUCUUAGCAUCAGUGUUGAAAAAGAAAACUGGCUACCAAAGGGUCAUGUAUUGGUAUCACAUCUGGUGCAUCUACUCCCAACAAGGCUGUUGAAGAUGUUUCUAUGAGGGUGUUUGAGAUCAGACGCGAAGAAUCACUUCAGCUCACAUAGAGAAAAUUAGGUAGGAGAAAGAUUAAAAUCAUUUGGAUCGAAAACACGACAAAUUAACAAGUGACAUUUUGUUACAAAGGAAUAUUAAAGCAGUUAGACAAGUCAGCGGAAUAUAUGUGGUGACUGAUGACCAUGAUAAUGAUGAAAACAUGGUUAGAAAUAAAAAAAAGGCGAGCCCAUUCUCAAUGAUGGUCACUUCAGAUCUUAACAUCACACAAUCUUCAGCCGGUGUGAUGUAGUUGUACAAAUAACGAAUGGUUGAUCUAAGAGCUCAGUUUAUGAUUUGUGAUUCUGGAACCAAACAAAGACAGGGUAUGUGAGUCUCAUGUGAUGGUACUGGAAAAUCAGUCAUGUCGCCCAAGAUGAUGGCCCGGGUCAAGCUUCAAGGUACACACAAAGUGACCAUAGCACAAACUUGAGACACAAUGAGAGUAGAGUAGUGCAUCAGGUAUAUUUAAUGACCAAAAGACCCAUUUAGACAAUGAGUUUUUGAAGCAUGAAAUCCGCAUUUGGUAGUUUUGCUUGAGAAAAAAUGCAUAUGGGAUAAUAUUUGAUAAAUCAUAAUAAGAUCAGCUACUUUCUUUCUU